rnacentral:sRNA from 1 species
GAUACCAGGGUUCCAAAGUCAGGCAGGCGUUCGUGCUUGCACGAAAAGCCUUUUGACCUUGGAACCCGUCAAACAUGAGAAAGUAGCGAUUUACGUAGUAAAUCAGCGAAUUUCGAAUGUUUGCAGAAUUGCGAGAGUUGCUCUGCAACGGAGCAAUUCGUAGGUAUC